UGGAGAGUGAGAGCGAGAGAGGGAGAGGGGGGAAGGGGGGGGUUGGAGAGGGAGGAGUGGCAGACAGCGAGAGUGAGAGAAGCAGAAAGUAUGCAUGUGUGCGCGUGUGCAUGAGUAAGUGGGCUGUUGCUAUAAAAUUUGCGAGCAGGGGCGCUCAUUGCGUUCGCUGGUGAUCAGGGUGGUGGUUUUUUUUUUCUUUUUUUUUUUUCCUUUUUUUUCCCCUUCUUUUUUCAUUUGUAAUCAAGGCAUGCUUGCACACUCCAAUCACUUCUCUGCACCUCCUCGGCUGCCUUGUGUCUGGAAGCAAUCCAGCUUUCGUCGCUGACAUGGACCGAUCUAGCCCUACAGACAUGAUGCUGGUUAAGAAGGAGCAGAAAGAUGCCGAGCUGGAUAGGAAGAUUGAGGCGUUGCGAAAGAAGAACGAGGCCCUUAUGAAGCGCUAUCAGGAGGUGGAGGAGGAUAAGAAACGGGGCGGAGCAGGAGGGCAUGGCAAUGCAGAGCCGCAAAGGGAAGGUUGAGGACCUGACCAUCACCAUCAACAAGUCCCCAACUGAGAAGCGUGUUGUAACCAAGAAGGGUUGGGAGAUGCAAUUCCUAAAGGGGUGAAGAACCAGGAGGACGUGUCCGACAUUUUUAGUGCUGGCCGUGGUAAAAGGAGGCAGCUUCUAGUCACUGCACCAGGAAACACUAAGGCAAGCUUGGCAUCGGGUCCAUAUAAUGUGUAUGAAUAGGAAUAUUGAUGACUUGAUCCCUGUUCUGGAUGUUGUUGGUUUGCCCAUGCUUCAAAUAUAUCUGUUUCGCUGUUUCCAUAGUUACCCAUUUCUUUCAGUGACCAUGUCAGAUCCUAUUGAUUUGCAUGUACUGACAGCAACCGAAUGUACCCCAAAUACAUUGAAUGUAGUGUUAAGAAUACACCGGAAUUCACCAAUUAAUCAUAAACAGCUUUGAUAAACGAUACCAUUAGUAAACAUUAACCAUACUGGUAUUGGUGAAAGUUGGUGAAAAAUCAUGGCGGUAACAUUGCAAAUGUAAAAAUGUGUGCGCAAAUCUGGAAUAACUUGCCGUUGAUGUACUCUGAGAUGCGUCCUGUCACUGCAGGGAAGAGGGUGGUUAGUGAAAGAGUGGAGAAGAGCAGUCCUGCUGGUCUAGCAGGGAUAAAGCACUCUACUGAGGGCAGGGGGGAGCUGCUAGACACUCCUGCAGGUCCAAAAAACCAGGUUGGAAAGAAGCAGGAACGAAAGUGUCGAGUUGAAGGUGGUCAUCAUGGAUUCACUGAGUAUAACCCCUAUCCCCAGCAAACCGAAGUGCUGACUGAUCUCAGCAUCCCCACGU
ensembl:lncRNA